rnacentral:rRNA from 1 species
CCUACGGGGCGCAGCAGUGAGGAAUAUUGGUCAAUGGACGAGAGUCUGAACCAGCCAAGUAGCGUGAAGGAUGACUGCCCUAUGGGUUGUAAACUUCUUUUAUAUGGGAAUAAAAUGUUCCACGUGUGGGAUUUUGUAUGUACCAUAUGAAUAAGGAUCGGCUAACUCCGUGCCAGCAGCCGCGGUAAUACGGAGGAUCCGAGCGUUAUCCGGAUUGAUUGGGUUUAAAGGGAGCGUAGGUGGAUUGUUAAGUCAGUUGUGAAAGUUUGCGGCUCAACCGUAAAAUUGCAGUUGAAACUGGCAGUCUUGUGUACAGUAGAGGUGGGCGGAAUUCGUGGUGUAGCGGUGAAAUGCUUAGAUAUCACGAAGAACUCCGAUUGCGAAGGCAGCUCACUGGACUGCAACUGACACUGAGGCUCGAAAGUGUGGGUAUCAAACAGGAUUAGAUACCCCUGUAGUC